AGAAACGGGACGGCCGUGAAGAAAAGUCAAACAAAAUAUUUUUAUCCACAUACAUAAAGUAUUGUGAAACACUUACACAUAUAAUUAUGACUCUAAAUUUACAUUUACUUCGAAUAGAUUUUUGUACCACCCGAACCCAGAGGACAUCAGCGCUACGGAAUUGAGUGAACUACAUCGAACUUGGAACAAACAAAAGCGGGAUUGGUUUAGCUCUCUCCAUUGGAAGUUACAGAGUACGGGAUCAGUUCUCAAGGCCGGCAAGGCUCUUCAAGGCUGUAGAUAAGGAUAGAGGUUGCAAGAAGACAAUACUUGAGACAAUAUACUAGUUAUAGCAUAUGUAUGGACGACGUUUCUUUGGUCGAACUUUCAUUUAUUCAUUAGAAGUCGAGAUACACAAAUUUUUCGAAUCCCAUUUCGCUUUGAAACUUUUUAGUCAAACGAGGCUUAUUUGACGUUAAGUGAAAUCACCAUAUGCAGUACCUGCUGAUAAUGUAUGUAGAAAUGAGCCAAAGAAGAUGCAAUAUAACCCCGAAGUAAUUGCUUUAUAAGACAAGCUAGGAUGCGCCGGCCCCCGCACAGAUCUAGCUAGUUUAAAAAUAGUGUACGUCAAGUAAAACAGUAAUCAAUAAGUCGCGAGGAUGGCUGGAUGGGCGGCAGUCGGUUGAGCUUUGCCUGCGGGGAUGUCACAGAAGGGGCAGUGAGAUGUGAGAACGAGACACCUAUUGGGAUUUUCUUCGCGAGAGAGAGAGACCGGCCACGGGACAUCUCUGAGGCAAACGUGAAUCUUUUAUUCGAUACAUUUGAUUUUGUAAUAAAUUAUGCCUUUGUUGA